rnacentral:lncRNA from 1 species
AAAUCAGAGCUACACUGAAGACUCUCAGUCUAUCCCCAGCAGAACAUCUUAAUGUGGUCCACCCAGAAACUGAACCGAAGCCACAUUCCUGGCAAAAGGAGUUUCAUCUUGGCCGUCUGCUCUUGGCUUUGGCCAGCUGGGCUCAGGGAGAUCUAAAAACCUAGGACAGUGCAUGGAUCCAGUAGACGAGUCCAGGCCUCCCCUUCCCCAGAGCUAAGCGGCAUCCCUCAUCACCUCCCCAACCCCAGAUAGACUCCCUACAGCGUAGCUGCCUGGUCCUAGCACUAGCUCAAAAUACAGGCAGGAGAACAAACAGUGCAAAAAGCAAAUGACGAACAGAGUAAUUUGUGACGUACACAAUACAAAAAUAAAAAUAAAGAGUGCCCCACCCCACCCCUUUAACCUAAACUUCAUGUACCUAUAUCAUCUUGAAGGAGCCCCCCCCCCCCCCCCCCCCCGCCUCCCCGAACAAAAAAAAAAAAGCUUUCAAGUUCAGCAUCAUGGGCCAGCUAUGACCAGCCCCGGGCAGCUGUUAGCUGGGUGGACUUGGCUCCAGGGGACUCUACCCCAGCCCCCCACCAUACUUCUUCCUGUUUCCUCACUUCUCCUUUAGUUUUUGUGAGCCAUAGAAAGAUGUUCCUUCCUUUCGGACACAAGCAGAGGAAAAUGCCCAUCCCUAUCCCUGGGCUCAGGGGAAAGGAGUGAGCUUGGAAACAGGGGUGGGCUUGGAAGCAAAGCUGCUUGGCUUACAGUACCGUUAGGAAAUGGCCCCAGGAGCCAGGGUUUCCUUCUGAGACUCUGAGUCACUGAAGGGAUGGGUUGAGGUGAGUAGGCGGGACCCCUCCUUCCUCAAAGACCCAGGCAAACUAACAAACAAGGCAAAAUGGAGGCAGCGAGUCCUCCUUCCUCCUCUUGUCUACUCCAUUGACAGUGGCCUACAGCUUUGAGGAGAUCUGAUGGAAGGGGAACCAAAGCCACUGUCAGAAGCCCAAUUAGUCAGGACGUCCAUUGCCCUGGGCAAAGGGUGCCCCGGAUCAAGGCUACAGGAUGCCAUCCUUCAAAGCAGGGAGCUUUGUGAAGCACUCCAGGAAGUGUUCCUCUUAUUGCGGCCUCAGUCCACAGUCAUCCAGAUGCCUGACUCAAUCCCCUACUACUGAGGCCUAAGUCACAGCUAAAAUAAAGGGCUCCCACUCUCAAAGGACUAAAUGCUGGCCCAGAGUAACUCAUUAAGAGCCAAAACCCAGGCCAUGAGCCCAAGAGCUACUUACUUUGUCACACAAGCAAUUCAAAUGCGUGGAGCUCUUCAAACACAUUAAAAAAAAAAAAAGACAAAAUUAAACACAUUCUAAAAAGAUCAGCCUGGUCUGAGAUUCUAUGCUGCUCUAGCCCAAGCGGAAGCUAACCCUGCUGCUUUCCAUCCACAAAACUCUGUGUAGCUUGGUUGGGUCCUCCCUCAUUGUUGCUCUAACUGGGAAAAGAAUAACAGUGACCAGAAAGAAAGGCAACAGGGAACCUUCAUUUCCUGUACAAGUUUUUCCAGGGAAUUGAAGACAGCCACUUGAUGCUAAGGCUGGCUUCAGAGCUGCCAGGACUAUGGCUGACUAGAAAUCUUUCAGCUCCGUCACACCAAGAACCCAACUGCAGCUCAGACAGGGAAAUGAAAGGAAAGGCGUAGACUGCUAGGAUCGGGAAGAGGCGCCAGUGGGCCAGAUAUAGACAAUGAGUCUAAUUUCUUGGGGCAGCUCUAGGCAUAAACCAAAACUGGUUGACUUGUGACACAGAAGGACAUGGGAAUAAAUGAACAUCAGAUACUAGAUAGACACUCUAAACAGUGGUCAGUCACUUAGUAGGGCUCAAGUCUCUGAGGUGGCUCUUAAGUUAUGCUAACAUAAGCCUUUUCUAAUCCAAAGACCAGAAAAGACUUUUAAGGUCAAGUGUUCUGUUGCUGCAGGCUGGAAAGCAUCCCUGUCCCCUGGCAGCAAGACCCUACAAAGGGGCCAGUAAAAGAACUGCUGGGUCAGGUCCUCCUGGCUGCUGGCUCAGAGAUCCAGGGAGGGAGGUACCAACAAGGUGAGGUGGUAGAGGAUAAGACAUUCAAGCAGAGGGAACCCCAAAUCCCCAGGUCGCCUUCCCUUCUUGACAAUAACUUAGCGGGAUGAUUGAGAGAGAGAGAAGAGAUUUCAAAUGGGCCAGAUUAAAGGGGGAAAAAAUGAGAAGAAAUCAAAGUCCCCAACAGGCACUGAAAUCAAAAUGAUUUGUUGUGGUAACAAGUCAGAGGCAACUUGAGGACCUGACAUAAACUAAUCGUCUUGGAUACCAGACAGUCCUCUAACUGGCAUAUGUCAGGGAGACAAGCAAUGACAAAGCGCAAACACUUAAGGUGGAACCAUCACU